GACGAACGCUGGCGGCGUGCUUAACACAUGCAAGUCGAACGAAGUGGCGAACGGGUGAGUAACGCGUAAUCAACCUGCCCUUCAGAGGGGGACAACAGUUGGAAACGACUGCUAAUACCGCAUACUGAAGGAGGGGAUUGCGUCUGAUUAGCUCGUUGGAGGGGUAACGGCCCACAAAGGCGAUGAUCAGUAGCCGGUCCGGAAGGAUGAACGGCCAAAAUGGGACUUGGGACCGGCCCAGACUCCUACGGGAGGCAGCAGGGGGGAAUCUUCCGAAAUGGACGGAAGUCUGACGGAGCAACUCCGCGGGAGUGAUGACGGCCGUCGGGUUGGAAAGCUCUGUUAAUCGGGACGCGGUACCGGAAUAGAAAGCCACGGCUAACUACGUGCCAGCAGCCGCGGUAAUUC
rnacentral:rRNA from 1 species